AAUAAGAUGCCUGAAAAAGGAUUAUUUUGAUAGAAUAAAUCAUGUACUUUGUACUCUUAUUA
rnacentral:tRNA from 1 species